AUGCAUACAUAACUUUCAAUAAUUGCAUAUGGGCCUCAAUAAACCAAUGUAAUCUAAAUGAGCCAACUUGUAAGCAAUAUAUGUAAGUUGGUUAUGGAACAAGGGGUGCCAGAUAGACUUUGUAAAUGUCUUUUGACGCUGGAACAAUGAUGACAUAUAGUGUAGUGUGCAUUAUAGUAAAUCUUCCAUUGUAUCAUGCGCUUUGCAAGGCUGGAGAGUUUCUAUCACCCAGUGGUUACUGUGAGCCAUGUCGUAGAUCUUCUUUCAUGAAAGAAACAAACCACAACAAUACGUCUUGCUUACAAUGCACGGAAGACGCACCUAAAUCGGCGGAGUUAUGGCAUCCCUGCAAUGCUACUCAUAAUACGGUCUAUAGGUGUGUGAACGACACGUUUAAUGUCAACGGAAAUGACAUAUUGUGUCAGCAAUGUCAAAAAUGCCUCUACCCGGGGUGAAAACCCUGCCGCCAUGAUCAAGACACCGUUUGCUGUUUGAAGGAAAGCCUGACUGUAGUCUCAGUUAAGAGUAAUGAAAAUUGCAAACACAAAACAAAUAAUGACAAGUAUUGCUGCAUAGAGACGGAGCAGACCACAGUAGAAGGUAAUACAUUAUCAGAUGUCACUCAAACGGAAAUUCCCAAAGUGCAGGAACAGAACAGCACUAGCGAGAAUUCAUCAAUAUCAAAUAAUGUAGGAAAUAGCGAAAACGGAGGGCUUGGUACUGGAGGAAAGGCAGGCAUUAUAACAGCAUGCAUUGUUGCUGCUUUUAUUGCAAUAACUAUACUGGUCGUUCAUCUACGUAAGAGAUGCCCUCGAAAAUACCAACGUCCAGCCAAUUUUAACCCAGACAAUGAAGGAGACGAAGGAGUUUAAUAACAUAGAGAAGAAGUCAAAAACAUUUUAAUUAUAUUAUAUUGUAAACCAGUGAUGCCCAACCAUAUUUGGUCUGCGGGCCAUUUUAAUUUUCGGCAUUCGUGUCGCGGGCCAUAACACCACAAAGAAAAAAAAUACAAUAAGCUAUUUUUAAUACUUUUAUUUGUGGACCUACUUACAUAAAUUAAUGUGAUGCAUGAAGUUUAUCCAACACCAUUUUCUGAAUAUCUGGCUGCAUAGAUGAAACACAAAGUCGGAGCACUGAAUCUAGAUGUUCAUCAGCGAGGUGAUUACGUAACAUGGAUUUCGCCCGUUUCAUCAUUGAGAAAGUUUGUUCACACAAAUAAGUGCUUGAAAACAUUGUGAUCAUCCUUAGCGCUUGUUUUCGAAGAUUUGGAAACACUUCAGCAGGUAACAUGGAGUAGAAUUCAAUGGUCUGCAUCACUUGAAAUUUGUCAAGAAGGGAUGUCUGGCUUUGUAAGUCAAGUCAAUCAGUUCCAGUUGAAGAUCUGUCGGAGCACUUGACACAUCGGCAGCAAACGGAAAUCUUUGAAAGUUCUGUGAUUAAAUGAAAUUUACAGUGUUGAGCACAAUCAUCAUCACAUGGUCCAGAUUCAAAACCUU